CACGGGGUUAUAUGGGGGGCUAUGGGGGGAUAUGGAGGUCAUGGGGCCACCUGGGGGACUUAUGGGGUCAUAUGGGGGGUCAUGGGGUCACAUGGGGUCAUGGGGUCACAUGGGGGUUAUGGGGUCACACGGGAUCACGUGGUUAUACAGGUGGUUAUGGGUCACAUGGGGGGUUAUGGGGUCACCUGGCGGUCAUGGGGUCACCUGGGGGACUUAUGGUGUCACAUGAGGGGUCAUGGGGUCACAGGGGUGUUAUGGGGUCACACGUGGGGUUAUAGGAUCACCUAGGGGGUUAUGGGGUCCCACGUGGGGUUAUGGGGUCACAGGGGUGUUAUGGGGUCACAGGGGGGUUAUGGGGUCACAGGGGGGUCAUGGGGUCACAUGAGGGGUCAUGGGGUCACAGGGGGGUUAUGGUGUCACAUGAGGGGUCAUGGGGUCACAGGGGUGUUAUGGGGUCACAGGGGGGUUAUGGGGUCACAAGAGGGGUUAUGGGGUCAUAGGGGAGUUAUGGUGUCACAUGAGGGGUCAUGGGGUCACAGGGGGGUUAUGGUGUCACAUGAGGGGUCAUGGGGUCACAGGGGGGUCAUGGGGUCACACGAGGGGUUAUGGGGUCACAGGGGGGUUAUGGGGUCACCUGGGGGGUUAUGGGGUCACACGUGGGGUUAUGGGGUCACAUGAGGGGUCAUGGGGUCGCAGGGAGGUUAUGGGGUCACACAUGAGGUUAUGGGGUCACAGGGGGGUUAUGGUGUCACAUGAGGGGUCAUGGGGUCACAGGGGGGUCAUGGGGUCACAGGGGUGUUAUGGGGUCACACGAGGGGUUAUGGGGUCACAUGUGGGGUUAUGGGGUCACAGGGGGGUUAUGGGGUCACAUGAGGGAUCAUGGGGUCACAGGGGGGUUAUGGGGUCGCAGGGGUGUUAUGGGGUCACAGGGGGGUUCUGGGGUCACCUGGGGGGUUAUGGGGUCACACGUGGGGUUAUGGGGUCACAUGAGGGGGCAUGGGGUCACAGGGGGGUUAUGGGGUCACAUGAGGGGUCAUGGGGUCACAGGGGGGUCAUGGGGUCACACGAGGGGUUAUGGGGUCACAGGGGGGUCAUGGGGUCACAGGGGGGUCAUGGGGUCACAGGGGUGUUAUGGGGUCACACGAGGGGUUAUGGGGUCACAUGUGGGGUUAUGGGGUCACAGGGGGGUUAUGGGGUCACCUGGGGGACUUAUGGCAUUGUAUGGGGGGGGUGAUGCUGUCACAUGGGGGGUCAUGGGGUCACACGGGGGGUUAUGGGGUCACAUGAGUGGUCAUGGGGUCACAGGGGGGUCAUGGGGUCACAUGAAGGGUCAUGGGGUCACAGGGGGGUUAUGGGGUCACAGGGGGGUUAUGGGGUCACAUGAGGGGUCAUGGGGUCACAGGGGGGUCAUGGGGUCACAGGGGGGUCAUGGGGUCACACGUGGAGUUAUGGGGUCACAUGAGGGGUUAUGGAGUCACAGGGGGGUCAUGGGGUCACACGAGGGGUUAUGGGGUCACAUGUGGGGUUAUGGGGUCACAGGGAGGUCAUGGGGUCACAGGGGGGUUAUGGGGUCACCUGGGGGACUUAUG
ensembl:lncRNA